GUAAGCUGUCCCUGCCACGUGCGCCACGCGCAACUCCCUGGGACCCGACGAGGGUGGCAGGGAGUGUAUCUUCAGAUGUUUGUCUUGGCUCAUAUUGAAGGUUGGAAAAUGGACCCUGGGAGGCGGAGUGAGGCACUGAACCCAUUUUUCCUCUUGCUUGGUUCUCAAAGUACAGCUUUUCUUAUAAGUUGCAAAAUGCGCUCUGUGAAAAUAGGUAGAAUUCAGUGCCAGGACGAGCGGGUAGCAAGGGAGACUGCCAGUGGACAGAUCCCAGUCACUGGAGAGUCUCCUCGCUGAGCGGGGAUACCCAGGUUUAGGUCUGUGUAACCCAGCUGUUGACCUGGGUUUUCAUUCCUCAUAAAUUGGGAAGGAGCGCGUCUAUCCCAGGGAAGCUUGAGUGUAGGAAUCCCGGGUUGGAUCCGGACCAUGAAGGUAUUUGCAGGCAGCCACGCUGUUGGAAACAGUACCUGUCUUGAAACAUCCUAUCAUUUGCACGGGCUAAUUGGCAACGCAGGAUUGUGUCCCAAUUUAUCCAAAAACUAACGAGAUGAAAUUAAGAGCACUGGUGUCUUUGAAACUGUGAAACCUAAAGUUCAAAACUGCUCAGUGUCACCAGGAGCUGCAAAAAGGUUUGAGCCCGGUUCGGGCCCCAUAGGCGCCAUCCUAUGCUCUGCAGCAGCGCCUUCCAGAUUCAGAGACUGCAUUUGGUGCAGAGGAUGCAGACUCAGGCCGGUUCCCUGCCAAAGCAGAGACUAGAAAUGCGAAGUACGACCCAGGAAUGUUACUCUUUCUAAUUCGACCUAGGUGCAGCAGCAGCAGCAGUGGGGACAGCGACAGCGCCAAUGAGAAAAAUGCAAACGUUUAACAGUUACCUCUCCUGCUGCAAGCCCUACCAAGCAGGCAGUCACUCUAAGGGCAUCCUUCGUUCCUUUAAGGAAAAAACAAAACAAAACAGAAACAUUUAAAUGGAUUUGGCAGCUGUUGCUCUAAAUGGCCAGCAUUCUUAGCUGUUGCUCUAAAUGGCCAGCAUUCCUAGCCAGUCUCGCUUAGUUAUGUGAGUCAAGUUCUUGCCCUGAACAUCUGAAGGCUAGAAUUCUCCGGUUUCCCACACCAGGCUGGCAGAUGGUGCAGAUCGAGCCCCCAGGACCAGGGCUAGCUGGGUAGAGAGUCUCUUUAUGAUUUCUGUGGCUGCUGACCUACACUCCCGGGUACAGGCAAGUCCUGGUAUGUUCAUCCCCGAGAAGCAUUGGAUUCCUGGCAAAGCAAGAUUCCAGUUGUUUCGCUGACUCAGACAAAGGCAAAAUCAUGCCAUUUGCCUGUGUGUCUUUAACUUCUAGUGCGUUCUGUGGUAUACCAAAAGCAAUCUUAAGAAAUACUAGCAUUGCUAUUUUGAGUUAAGCCUUAAUGACCUCUAUUAAUAAUCACCAUUGAACACUGUAGUAAAAAUUGAUGUGAGCUUUAAUUACAAAAGAGUUUGGAGGCUUCAAUAUCCAUUGAAGGAAAAAAUAUAGUUCUGUGACACAAUUCACAAUUCCCUAUUUAAUAGUUCUAUUGUAGUCAGCUAUCUAAGGAGAACAAAGAGAAGGAAAAAAGGGACGUUUAAGAAAUUACUCAGCUUCUUGGAAGAUAAAUACAAAUACAAUCAUUUACAUAUUAGCAUUUCCUUUGUCCCUGUACUUUC
rnacentral:lncRNA from 1 species